AUUGAACGCUGGCGGCAUGCCUUACACAUGCAAGUCGAACGGCAGCACGGGAGCAAUCCUGGUGGCGAGUGGCGAACGGGUGAGUAAUAUAUCGGAACGUGCCCAGUCGUGGGGGAUAACGUAGCGAAAGCUACGCUAAUACCGCAUACGAUCUAUGGAUGAAAGCGGGGGAUCGCAAGACCUCGCGCGAUUGGAGCGGCCGAUAUCAGAUUAGGUAGUUGGUGAGGUAAAGGCUCACCAAGCCGACGAUCUGUAGCUGGUCUGAGAGGACGACCAGCCACACUGGGACUGAGACACGGCCCAGACUCCUACGGGAGCAGCAGUGGGGAAUUUUGGACAAUGGGCGCAAGUCUGAUCCAGCCAUUCCGCGUGCAGGAUGAAGGCCCUCGGGUGUAAAGCACUUUCAGCGAGGA
rnacentral:rRNA from 1 species